rnacentral:rRNA from 1 species
AUCCGGAUCGAGGACAGUGUAUGGUGGGUAGUUUGACUGGGGCGGUCUCCUCCUAAAGAGUAACGGAGGAGUACGAAGGUGCGCUCAGACCGGUCGGAAAUCGGUCGUAGAGUAUAAAGGCAAAAGCGCGCUUGACUGCGAGACAGACACGUCGAGCAGGUACGAAAGUAGGUCUUAGUGAUCCGGUGGUUCUGUAUGGAAGGGCCAUCGCUCAACGGAUAAAAGGUACUCCGGGGAUAACAGGCUGAUACCGCCCAAGAGUUCAUAUCGACGGCGGUGUUUGGCACCUCGAUGUCGGCUCAUCACAUCCUGGGGCUGAAGCCGGUCCCAAGGGUAUGGCUGUUCGCCAUUUAAAGUGGUACGCGAGCUGGGUUUAGAACGUCGUGAGACAGUUCGGUCCCUAUCUGCCGUGGACGUUUGAGAUUUGAGAGGGGCUGCUCCUAGUACGAGAGGACCGGAGUGGACGAACCUCUGGUGUUCCGGUUGUCACGCCAGUGGCAUUGCCGGGUAGCUAUGUUCGGAAAAGAUAACCGCUGAAAGCAUCUAAGCGGGAAACUUGCCUCAAGAUGAGAUCUCACUGGA